AGCACUCUGAAGAAACUGUUCUACUGUCUUCUGGCUUCUGUUGUUGCUCUUGAGAAGUCUGCCACCUGUGUCAUUGUUGUUCCUUUUACUACAGAAAGUUUGCAUUAUAUCUUUGACCUAUAGCAGUGCCUGAGAAAUGAUAAAGCUAUUCUUCUGGGAUGAACAAAUAGAAUUGGCCUUGGAUAGAAGAAAAAAAGAUGUCAUAAGAGAAGACAUGAAACAGGGCAUAAAGAAACAAAACAGACUGGGAAAUAAACAAAAAGCAGCUUGCUAUCUUGGUUGAAAAGGAUAAGGAGGACUAACGAAGAUAACCAUGACUAGCAUACUAGGAAGCACUAUGCAAGAGACAAGGCCAAUGGAGAGACUUGCCUUCAAAGUGUGCAAAUAAGAAUUCAUCUUCAAAAAAGGACACUUACAAAAUAGAAUUAUUCCAAUGGGAAAUGAG